rnacentral:rRNA from 1 species
CUUGCCCUAGGGACGCAGCAGUAGGGAAUCUUCCACAAUGGACGAAAGUCUGAUGGAGCAACGCCGCGUGAGUGAAGAAGGGUUUCGGCUCGUAAAGCUCUGUUGGUAGUGAAGAAAGAUAGAGGUAGUAACUGGCCUUUAUUUGACGGUAAUUACUUAGAAAGUCACGGCUAACUACGUGCCAGCAGCCGCGGUAAUACGUAGGUGGCAAGCGUUGUCCGGAUUUUUUGGGCGUAAAGCGAGU